UACAGAGGUCCCAAGCGUUGUUCGGAUUCACUGGGCGUAAAGGGUGCGUAGGUGGCCGGGAAAGUUCGGUGUGAAAGCUCCAAGCUCAACUUGGAAAUGUCAUCGAAAACUUCCUGGCUCGAGGAUUGAAAGGGAGACUGGAAUUCUCGGUGUAGCAGUGAAAUGCGUAGAUAUCGAGAGGAACACCGGUGGCGAAGGCGAGUCUCUGGGCAAAUCCUGACACUGAGGCACGAAAGCUGGGGGAGCAAACAGG
rnacentral:rRNA from 1 species